GGUUCCAUAGUGUAGCGGUUAGCACGUCUGCUUUACACGCAGAAGGUCCUGGGUUCGCACCCCAGGUGGAGCCA
rnacentral:tRNA from 1 species